UACGUAGGCAGCGAGCGUUGUUCGGAAUUACUGGGCGUAAAGAGUGUGUAGGCGGUGUUCCCAGUCUGUUGUGAAAUCUCCCGGCUUAACUGGGAGGGUGCAGCGGAAACUAGAAUGCUAGAGGGUGGGAGAGGUAAGCGGAAUUCCUGGUGUAGCGGUGGAAUGCGUAGAUAUCAGGAGGAACACCUGUGGUGUAGACAGCUUACUGGACCACUUCUGACGCUGAGACACGAAAGCGUGGGUAGCAAACAGG
rnacentral:rRNA from 1 species